rnacentral:misc_RNA from 1 species
UACGGAGGAUCCAAGCGUUAUCCGGAUUUAUUGGGUUUAAAGGGUGCGUAGGCGGAAUAGUAAGUCAGUGGUGAAAGCCUACAGCUUAACUGUAGAAUUGCCAUUGAUACUGCUAAUCUUGAGUAUAGAUGAAGUGGGCGGAAUGUGUCAUGUAGCGGUGAAAUGCUUAGAUAUGACACAGAACACCGAUUGCGAAGGCAGCUCACUAAACUAUAACUGACGCUGAGGCACGAAAGCGUGGGGAUCAAACAGG